CGAGUGGAAGGGCCGUCGCUCAUCAGAUAAAAGGUACUCCGGGGAUAACAGGCUGAUCUCCCCCAAGAGUUCAUAUCGACGGGGAGGUUUGGCACCUCGAUGUCGGCUCAUCGCAUCCUGGGGCUGUAGGAGGUCCCAAGGGUUUGGCUGUUCGCCAAUUAAAGCGGUACGUGAGCUGGGUUUAGACCGUCGUGAGACAGGUCGGUCCCUAUCUGGUGUGGGUGUAGGAUGAUUGAGAAGAUUUACCCCUAGUACGAGAGGAUUGGGGUGGACGAACCUCUGGUGCACCAGUUGUCACGGGAGUGGCACGGCUGGGUAGCUAAGUUCGGAACGGAUAAGCGCUGAAUGCAUAUAAGCGCGAAGCCCUCUUCAAGACGAAUCAUCCCCAUGAGCCCCCUGAGAGACUAUCAGGUGAUAGGCCGGCGGUGGAAGCACAGCGAUGUGUUAUGAGCUAACCGGUACUAAUUGGGCCAUAGGCUUAACCAC
rnacentral:rRNA from 1 species